GGAUUGCUGGGAGUUGAUAACCAGAAGAAGGAAGCAGAAGCAGUGAAGAAGACAACAGCUUCAAAGGCAGCCAAGACCGAGUCCUGAGGGCGCCCGAGCAACAUGGCUGAGCACAGCUGUCAUGGAAACACGAUUCCAUCGCAAGAUGACAAGCUGGCAUGAAGACAAUGUAGGUGCAAAGAAGAUCUACUGUGCCCAAGAUCGCUGAAGAAGGAACCACACUUGUUUCGACCGCUGCUGUAUAUGCAGUCAAGGACCUUCCUGGAAGAUCCAUGAGAACAGCUCAACACUGUCAAGACUAAUAAUAACUCAAAGACAUGAAAUGCCAAAGAAACCACUGAGAUUUUUACACAGAAGUAAUAAUCACUCUCCUAUCACAAGUACUGAGGCACUAGCCAGACCCCUGGGGCUUCCAGUCAAGUCAAAGGUGGACAGAAGAAUUAUAGUAAAGCUGGAGUGAGUGAAGCACACCGGGAAGAAGUUAGCAAUGGAGACAACAUCGAGAGAGUGACAAGAUUGUGUAGUGCCAAACUUCGAGGUUGAAGCUCUUCUGGGAAAAGCCGGAGAACCUUUUCCCUGCCUCUUGUCAGCAGCUAUACCCCCUCCAUCCAUGCCCUGCUCAAAUGAAGAAUGCUUCGGGAGAAGCCAAUCUAUCUGCCAAUGUCCCAGGGACCUGCUCUGUGCCAGAUACCCUCCUGAGCAAAUAUUGAUAUAUUAACCACAGAUCAAACACUCCAAGAGCAGCAAACACACUGAGCAUGGAGCAGGUUGGCUGGCCUGUGGCCACCUCCCUACAGCCCAGAGCCAGAAUUGAGCUGUUCUUCCCAGUGGAGGAAUCUCUGCAGGGCCUCUGAACUGAGGCUAGCUAGAGGACGUGAGUCCAGGGGAUACUAAAAAGAAUGCUUGAUGAUGGGCAAGUGGCACAGGAGGCUGGAGAUGGAACCACAGCCUAUCCAUAAAGAGCUCUGGGGACCGCCAUCACUAACUAUCCUUGUGCAAGCUGCAGAGCUGUGCAAUUAGGCCUGGGGAAAGAGCCUGGGGGCCGAGGUGCUCUAGGGCCAUGAUCAUGAUGCUGACAAGUCUAAUGGAGCCAAGUCUGACCUUGCUCUUGUUGAUAUUUACAGAGUAAUAAAAACCAGAAACCACUUCA